UACGGGGGGGAGCAAGCGUUGUUCGGAUUUACUGGGCGUAAAGGGCGCGUAGGCGGCGUAACAAGUCACUUGUGAAAUCUCCGGGCUUAACCCGGAGCGGCCAAGUGAUACUGUUGUGCUAGAGUGCGGAAGGGGGCUACUGGAAUUCUCGGUGUAGAGGUGAAAUUCGUAGAUAUUAGGAAGAACACCGGUGGCGAAGGCGGCCCACUGGAUCGGUACUGACGCUGAGGUGCGAAAGACGUGGGGAGCAAACAGG
rnacentral:rRNA from 1 species